GAUGAACGCUGGCGGCGUGCCUAAUACAUGCCAGUCGAGCGAACAGACGAGGAGCUUGCUCCUCUGACGUUAGCGGCGGACGGGUGAGUAACACGUGGAUAACCUACCUAUAAGACUGGGAUAACUUCGGGAAACCGGAGCUAAUACCGGAUAAUAUAUUGAACCGCAUGGUUCAAUAGUGAAAGACGGUUUUGCUGUCACUUAUAGAUGAUCCGCGCCGCAUUAGCUAGUUGGUAAGGUAACGGCUUACCAAGGCGACGAUGCGUAGCCGACCUGAGAGGGUGAUCGGCCACACUGGAACUGAGACACGGUCCAGACUCCUACGGGAGGCAGCAGUAGGGAAUCUUCCGCAAUGGGCGAAAGCCUGACGGAGCAACGCCGCGUGAGUGAUGAAGGUCUUCGGAUCGUAAAACUCUGUUAUUAGGGAAGAACAAAUGUGUAAGUAACUAUGCACGUCUUGACGGUACCUAAUCAGAAAGCCACGGCUAACUACGUG
rnacentral:rRNA from 1 species